rnacentral:rRNA from 1 species
CCUACGGGUGGCAGCAGUGGGGAAUAUUGCACAAUGGGGGAAACCCUGAUGCAGCGACGCCGCGUGAGUGAAGAAGUAUUUCGGUAUGUAAAGCUCUAUCAGCAGGGAAGAAAAUGACGGUACGUGUUUAAGAAGCCCCGGCUAACUACGUGCCAGCAGCCGCGGUACUACGUCGGGGGCAAGCGUUAUCCGGAUUUACUGGGUGUAAAGGGAGCGUAGUCGGCAGCACAAGUCUGGAGGGAAAUGCCGGGGCUUAACCUCCGAACUGCUGUGGAAACUGUGGAGCUAGAGUGCAGGAGAGGUAAGUGGAAUGCCUAGUGGAGCGGUGAAAUGCGUAGAUAUUAGGAAGAACACCAGUGGCGAAGGCGGCAUACUGGACUGUAACUGACGUUGAGGCACGAAAGCGUGGGGAGCAAACAGGAUUAGAUACCCCGGUAGUC